rnacentral:rRNA from 1 species
UGGGGAAUAUUGCGCAAUGGAGGAAACCCUGACGCAGCCAUGCCGCGUGAAUGAAGAAGGCCUUCGGGUUGUAAAGUUCUUUCGGUAUUGAGGAAGGUUGAUGUGUUAAUAGCACAUCAAAUUGACGUUAAAUACAGAAGAAGCACCGGCUAACUCCGUGCCAGCAGCCGCGGUAAUACGGAGGGUGCGAGCGUUAAUCGGAAUAACUGGGCGUAAAGGGCACGCAGGCGGUUAUUUAAGUGAGGUGUGAAAGCCCCGGGCUUAACCUGGGAAUUGCAUUUCAGACUGGGUAACUAGAGUACUUUAGGGAGGGGUAGAAUUCCACGUGUAGCGGUGAAAUGCGUAGAGAUGUGGAGGAAUACCGAAGGCGAAGGCAGCCCCUUGGGAAUGUACUGACGCUCAUGUGCGAAAGCGUGGGGAGCAAACAGGAUUAGAUACCCUGGUAGUCCACGCUGUAAACGCUGUCGAUUUGGGGGUUGGGGUUUAACUCUGGCGCCCGUAGCUAACGUGAUAAAUCGACCGCCUGGGGAGUACGGCCGCAAGGUUA